rnacentral:lncRNA from 1 species
CGGGCCCCCCCUCGGCUGACGUCACCGCCGUACAAAAAAACAGCCCGGCAGGCGGGCGGGGAGCGACAGGGCCGGCGGCACGGCACGGCUCGGCACGGCUCGGCAGGACGCCCCCCGCCGCCGAUAUGGUGUCCCCCGUCACCGUGGUGCUGCUGUGAUUUGCAAACAAAGCUGAACUUGAAUGACACCUUCCAGCACAGACUUCUAUCUUCAGAGAUAGAAGAUAUUACUUACCUUAGCUGAGACUGUUACAGGGACUGUGGAUGCUGCAAAUCCUUCCUAUCCUUGGAAGCAGUUAGUCUUCCCUCCUGAAGGUCUCAGGCUCGUUAUGUUGUAGUGGGGUUCCUCCAUGGCUGGCAGGACAGAGGUGGGGAUCCUGCCGGAGGUGCUACCAUCUCUGCAACUGCGAGAGAGAGAAUGCGAUCAACUGUGUUUUUAACAAAAGAGUUUUACAGAAGGGGAGAGGACAGAGCUGGAACCAGGCAGCAGCUUUGGAGGUGGCUGAGGACAAUGUGAUGCAUCGCUUCAGAAGAGGAGGAGGAAGUGUGGCUGCACUCCCCCCCGUGUAACUUGCUAGUUCCCAGUGCACCCAGUGCUGUGGGACUGUGUGGGAUUUUGUGACUUUUAUUUCUAGUUCAGUUGUUACUUACUGCCAGAGUUCUUCCAAGAAAUCCAGACAAGGGGAGGUAAAUGGUGAUUAAUUUAGACAACCUAAGUAGAGGACUCACGGUGUAAUACAAGAAACUUAGCAGCUUUCUGAUGUCCUUUUGUGAGUGAAUUGUGUAGCUGGGUUGUUUAAUGGAGCGUUUAAAAAUUGUGUUGACAAUAGCCUAUGAAUAAUGUAUGCAGGAACGAUGAAAUACCUUACUGUUAAGAAACUGCUGAUAUGCUGGGGAACUUUCCAUCGGAUGUGAGAAUGAUUUUGAAAGCUCUGUCUUCUUGGGAUGCCCUUUAUUUAUAGUCUUGCUGCUUCGGAGAUUGCAUUCCUUUUUAGAUACCACGUGUAAAGAUGCCCUCCACUGCUUCUGCCUCUGUCUUCCAAUUUCACUCAAUUCCCUUUGCUUAUGGCUGUAAAACCUGCUGAAUUUUGAUGAGUGUAUGCUUUAUUAACUGAGCACUGUAAGCGUGGAGCUAUUUGCUCUAUAGCCUCCGGCCAUUUCAGGUGUCUGCACCAAAGCAUGCUGUGCCGAAGGAAGAUGGGCACUGUUUUUGUGUCACA